GAUGAACGCUGGCGGCGUGCCUAAUACAUGCAAGUCGAGCGAACAGACGAGGAGCUUGCCCGUCUGACGUUAGCGGCGGACGGGUGAGUAACACGUGGAUAACCUACCUAUAAGACUGGGAUCCCUUCGGGAGCCCGGAGACCAUACCGGAUAAUAUAUUGAACCGCAUGGUUCAAUAGUGAACGCGGGUUUUGCUGACACUUAGAGAUGGAUCCGCGCCGCAUUAGCUAGUUGGUAAGGUAACGGCUUACCAAGGCAACGAUGCGUAGCCGACCUGAGAGGGUGAUCGGCCACACUGGAACUGAGACACGGUCCAGACUCCUACGGGAGGCAGCAGUGGGGAAUCUUCCACAAUGGGCGAAAGCCUGACGGAGCCACGCCGCGUGUGUGAUGAAGGUCUUCGGAUCGUAAAGCUCUGUUAUUAGGGAAGAACAACUGUGUAAGUAUCUCUGCCCGUCUUGACGGUACCUAAUCAGAAAGCCCCGGCUAACUACGUG
rnacentral:rRNA from 1 species